rnacentral:lncRNA from 1 species
CUAAGACCCUGAUUGGACCAAUCAGAGACCUAGUUACUUUUAGAAAAUCAGUUUACCCCUAUCAGUAUAGGCAAGACAAAGAGGCCGUGCUGAGAACCGCACCUGGAGCUUUUCCUUGCCCUGCAGCUCCCAUGCUGUGUGGCAGCCCAACCCCUACUUCCUCUUGCCCUCUGCAAUAUUAUCAGUAAAACUUCUGCUUCACUUCCCUUUCCUUAUCUGAGUUUCUCACUCCGCCCGGGAUAGACUUUUGCUUCUGAGUCAGCCUCACUUUACCUCUUGCAUUCCUGCCAGGGUGAAGAGAUGAACAGGGAAGCAGAGGGUCUCUUCACAGAAGGACCCCAGCCUCCCAGACCACCGCCUACUGCAACAGAAGGAAAUCUGAAGACUAUUCCAUGACCUAAGAAAAUCAUAUGGAAUUCACAUUUCAGUGGCCAUAAAUAACAUCUUAGUGGAACCCAUUUGUUUGCUUAUGGUAGAAAAUGUUUGCUGAUUCCUGUAUUAAACACACUUGUCAGCAAUUGGCCUCCUCCUGAUGGAAGGGUGAGAGAACAUGGACCACAUUAGUCUCUAGCGCAGAUCACUGCUCAUCACUUCUGGGCAGCAGGUCAGGUCUUCACGUCAUCUCUUCUCACCAAGGGGCACCACAAAACGUCCAGAGCCUAGAAGAUGAAGGUGCCAACACUCUGUGUAAACUGGAAAGCUCUCAGAGGGUGAAAGGCGACUGAGUUGUGAUUUUUUGACUAUAAAAAGAGAGUACAAGC